ACAACCAUAUCAUUUUGGAAUACCAGUUCUUGUUUGAUCACAAAAGUUAAGCAACAUCUGAGCCUGGUCUGUACUUAAAUGGGUGACUGCUUGGGAAUACCAGGUACUGUAAG